CAGGGUUAUGUCAAAAGGACUCAAGAAUCAAGUUGAAGAGGAGGCUCCAUUGUUAUGGUACUGUAUUAGUCUGUUCUUGCACUGCUAUAAAGAACUACCUGAGACCAGGUGAUUUAUAAAGAAAAGUGCUUUAAUUGACGCACAGUUCUGCAGGCUAUACAGGAAGCAUGGCUGGGGAAGCCACAGGAAACAUACAAUCAUGGCAGAACGUGAAGGGGAAGCAAGCACAUCUUCACAUGGCAGAGCAGGAGAGAGAGGGCAAAGGGGGAAGUGCUACACACUUUUGAACAACCAGAUCUCUUGAGAACUCACUGUCAUGAGAACAGCAAGGGGGAAGUCUGCCCCAUGAUCCAAACAUCAUGACCUCCCACCAGGCCCCUCCUCCAACAUUGAGGAUUACAAUUCAACAUGAGAUUUGGGUGGGGACACAGAGCCAAACCAUAUCAGGUACCAUGAAUGUCAACAUGAGAAAAUACAAGUAUAUUGUGGAAAAUGAGAAUCAAGUUUCCUACUAUUGCAGAAGGGAGGUAAAAUUAUAGAGAAGAGGAAGACUAGAGGAAAAUAUGUGGUAUUGGAUUGGAAUUUGAGGUAUUGGUGUGAACUCAUAUUUUAUAUAUACAUAUAUAUUUUGAUAUAUGUGCACAUAUAUAUGCUCACAUAUACAUAGAUCUAUAUAUACAUAUACACAUCUAUAUGCACACAUAUUUAAAUAUAUUUCAUAGAAAUAUAGAUGAAUGGGUGUGUAUAUCAAUAUUCAUUUAUUUGCUAGGUCUAGUCACUGAAAUAGACUGGAAAUAAUGACAUCUCAGUAGCAAUAAACACACCUAGCAUCCAAACUUGGCUUCUAAAUACCAUUCCUUACUAAAAGGAACUAAGGCUCUUUGGAGAAAUGAAUGAUGUGACAGAUGUGAAAAUCUAUGACAUAACUUAUGAAAAUGGCAGAGAGAUGAUCAGCCUCCACCCAACUGGAAUGGUUGAUGAAAGCUGAAUGAGAUUGUAAGUUACAUGGUAUUAUUGUAUUUAUUAAUUUCUUGAUUUUGCUGGGUUGUACUGUGGCUGUGACAUAGAAUAUAUCCUUGUUUUCAGGAAAUACAGAAAUACUUUGGGUAAUGUCUGUAAUUGGCUCUUAAACGGAUCGGGUGGAAAAACAAAAGAACAAUAUGCAUAGUGAGAGAGUGAGAGAGAAAGAAUGAUGAGGUAAAUGUAAACUAUUAACAACUGGGGACUUUGGGUUAAGGGUAUGAGGGCAUUAUUUUGUAAUAUUUUUGCAACUGUACUGUAAACUUGAAAUUAUUUCAAAGUAAAAAGUCUCAAGAAUAUUUGAGCACAGGGGAAAUAUUCAAGCUAGGUAAAAUAUGUAGAUUACUAAACAAAUGUACAGUGUAAUCUAAAUUUUGUUGAAUAUACAUAUUUAAGAUUCAGUAAAAUUAUACUUUUAGAAGCAUAAAACAAAGUUAACAAUUGUCAUCUAUUGGUGAUAGAAUAGCCAUGCCCCUCUUAAAGCCAAAAGGCUAGCAGAUAUCAAGACCUACUCUAAAGUUAGAGAAAUCAAGACGUGUGACAUUGGCACAAUGACAGAAAAAUACACCCAUGGCACAGAAUAAGAGUCAAAAAUUGACCCAGACAUACAUAGUCACCGGAUUUAUGACAAAGCUGCCACUGAAAUUCAGUGGGAACAAAAUUUUUAAAUAGUGCUGGAUCAAUUGUACACCCAUAUGGAAGAGAUGAAUCUUGAUGUCUAACUCCUAUCAUAUACAAAGAUUAAUGUGAAAUUAAUCAUAGACCUAAAUGUGAAAGAUAAAAUAACACAGAAGAAAACCUAGGAUAGUAUCUUCAUAACGAGGGCAGGCAAAGAUUUCUUACAUAGGACACAAAAGGCACUAACCAUCACAACAAAAUUUCAGGCCGGGCGUGGUGGCUACCGCUUGUAAUCCCAGCACUUUGGGAUCACCUGAGGUCAGGAGUUCGAGCAGCCUGGCCAACGUGGUGAAACCCCGUCUCUACUAAAAAUACAAAAAUUAGCCGGGCGUGGUGGCAGGUACCUGUAGCCCCAGCUCCUCAAGAGGCUGAGGCAUGAGAAUCUCUUGAACCCGGGAGGCGGAGGGUGCAGUGAGCCGAGAUCGGCCACUACUGCACUCCAAUCUGGGCGACAGAGCAAGACUCCGUCUCAAAAAAAAAAAAAAGUUUUAAAAUGAAAUUAAAUUAUCUAAUACCAUUAAGAGUAAAAAAAAAAUCAUGAACUGGGAAAGUAUUCACAAUAUAUAAUUUUGAUAAAUUAUGGAGCUCAGGUGCAAGUAACUUAGUAGGCAGGAGAGGAAGGAGUCUAAAGAAGUCUAGUUAGGAAGGAUUACUGAAAGAGGGGGUAUAUCUAAAAAUGGGUAGGAUGGGAAAGGGAGACUUUGGGAACAGCCAUGGGUUCCUAAUGCGCCCACAACAUACAUGGGAGUUAUCCUGAAGAUAAACUCCCUGAAGACAGUGAAAGCCAUUUCAAAACUCCCCAUAUAACUUAUGAGAACAGAGGGGUGAUCUGCCUUUAAUGUUAGGCCUUCUGAGAUCCUGCGAUCUGUUCGCUCUCCUCAGUAACAUUACCCUGCUCAAUUGCUGCCUUAAUCCCAGGUCGCACAUUGGAAUGUGGGAAUUCAGCGUUUACAUUUACCCACACAGGAUCAGCCUUC
rnacentral:lncRNA from 10 species